AGAGAGAAGUCGAAGCAGAAUAACGGUACAAAUUGUAUUUAAGAGAGUUUAUUUUGUAGGCAGCAAGCACAUUUGAGGCAGGCUUCCUGUAUAGGAACUAUGAAAAAAGUUGUGAGCCCCUCCCUCAGAGCCAACUAAGGUCUCCUUUUAUCCUGGAAGUUUAUAUAUAAUUACCUUGUUCGCAAAAGCUUAUUUAAAGUCUUACUCAUACUCAAAGUCAGCCCAUUGAAGUGAAUGGAGAUGACUAACUUUUCCAAUUCUGUGAAGAAUUUAGAGGGAUGCAACCCAAAAUCAGGUAGCCAUGUUGAGAAAGGAGAAGGCACAACAAUAAAGUAAUACUGAGGACCAACUUUUAUCAGGACAGCUUAUGGGUUAUUUAUCCUUCAGCGACUUUUGAAAGUGUAUUUAUCCAAUAUGAAACUCCCAGUUUGUUUGGCUGUCAUUUAAAAAGCACAGAAGCAACAUGCUGUCCGUUCAGUUUGUUGCACCACAUCAAACACCUAUUUUCUCAUAAUUGCCACAUACACAAAAUUGCACACUGCUCCAUAUUCUUAAUUGAGGAUCACUCCUUGCAGAUUCUGUUUUCAGAAUUACAAGAAGAACAAAUUGGAAUCAACUCAUUCAAAGCAGGCUACUGUAGUUAUUUUUGUUUACCACAUUUAUAUCCUAGCUUUGCUCUCCUCCAAAGAUAAUCUCCCCCUCCCCAGUUUAUUCUCACAAUAACCCUGUGAGGUGGGCUAAACUGAGAUACAGUGACUGGCCCAAAAUCACUCAGUGAGUAUCAUGACUGAGUGCAAAUUUGAACCCUUGGCCUCCCAGGUCCUAGUCUAACAAACUGCUACUUACAAGUUUAUUGUCAGUGCUGUAACAAGAACAUGUGUUAAUGGUGUAGAAUUCAUCAUGUUUAUGUAUGCUUAUUGUGUGGGGAAUCUUACCUGUGUUAUUAGAUUUUGCAAGCUGGGAAUUCAUGUGCCUGUUAUUCCAGAUUAAUCCACACACAGAUUGAAAGUGUGUUUGUGGCAUGUUACUCAGCUUCUAAAUCUUUCCAAAAACAAAUGAAUCAGAAGAAGAGGAAAUUGCUGAAGACAGAAGUACUGUAUAAGAGACCACUACAGAAGUAUUUCUUAGUUUUAAAUGUUGCAUAAUAAUUACUUUUUCCUACCAGCAGGUGGCUUCUUCACUGAAAGUUCUGUGUACUGACACCUCAGUUGUUGAGGGAUACCCUUGAGGUGACUGCAGCUCCAUUUCCGGAAAAUGAGUUAAGAUAGAUGCAAGACAGUUUGCAGAAACCUGUGAGUAGAGAAAUAAAUCAUGCAUUAAACAAUCGGAAAAGGUUUCCGACACAGAGCUAGGACUGCCAGCAUCUGAAGUGAAACAUUUGGAAUCAAUGCUCAAUCCCAGGCAUUUCCAUCCACAACCUCUUUUCAAUGUCAGAAUGCAGCUCAUGGGCAAGUAAAAAGUGUUAUUGAGCAGGGUCAGAGUGCACAGACUUUCCUGAUCAAGUAAUGUGACUACCAAGCAAGCAUCAGCUCCAUCACCACCCUUGAGAAAUAAGCUACUCGUGAAAAAAUGAGACGCGGCUACUGAGUGAGUAUUUUAAGGAAUUUGGUUCUCAAGUUUAGGAAUAAUGAGAAAAGAUUAAGGAUAGAGGCAUAUGCUACCGUCCUAAAUCAUGUUUAUGUAGCUCUUCCAUCUUGUGCAGUCAUUAGAUUAUUAAAUGUUUAAAUUUAUUUCCCCUCUUUCAUGAAAGUUCAGUAAAAUAGGAAGGAACAUAAGGCACUGCAUUACAUGAGUCGUGAGACCAUUGAGCUAUCUAGCUCAGGACUGUCUGUGGUGGUGGACUUCAUGCUAGCAGGAUCACCUUUGUUUUUGGAGACACACCAACUACAUUUAGAAUUACAGAAUUUGGAGGCCAGGGAUUUGAUAUGAGUGGCAGAAAUGAACUGACAUGACAGUCGUUCUAUACACAAACCCACGUCUGGUUACCUCCUCCACUUUCAGUUUUCUUCUUUUCAGUGGUAAUAUUUUUUGUUGUCGUUUUGGGGUUUUUUUUGGGGGGGGAGGGGGUCAUUUUGUUGUUACUGUUAUUCAACAAUUGGAAGUCAGAAAUCCUUCCCUAUCUAUGAUCUCUUCUGCCCAUCCUGGUCUACUGCAAUGCCUAACAGCAGCUCUCCAAUGUUUCACUGGAGAUACAAUAAUCUUUCCCAACCCUGCCUGGACAUGCCAGUGAGUGAUAUAGUAUAUCCCCAAGUGCCAUUCUGCUCCAAUACCACCAGGCUCCUGUGAAUUCCUUCCCAGGUGCAUUGUGUCAGUAUUGGUCAGUGAGUGGUAAAGAAUGAGCUUUUGGAUCCAGGUACCAGAAUUGUAUCAUAAGGCACUUGAAGAACAACCCUGACCUAAAUGUUACAUUCCAUUUUAUAUGUUGGAUCAGGAUUUUCUGGCAACAAACUACUACUGCUUCAUUACAGAAUAUGUAAGCAAAAUCAUUCUAGGUUGGGACAUUCUUGUAUUUUCUGAUUCUCUGGACCAAGUAUUUCAUAUUAGUUUCAAAACAUUUUACUUCUGGGCAGAUGGGACAUGCUUCUGAUGUGAGUUUACUGGUGUCUGCUGUGGCCAGCCAUGUGAAGAGAGAACACAUCUCUUCUUCAAACUCAGUAGCAUUCUGCACACCUGAGGGCAAUGUUGGCUUGAAGGGACAAAUACAAUUUCCAUGGAAGAAUCUUCUGACAUGCAGCACCCCCUGCUGACCCUUUGGGGAAUGUUCAAGAGUAAGGAAAUUAAUUAAAGUGCUGCCACUAAAAAUGCAGAAGGUUGGAGGGGACACAAUUCUUUCAGUCCCGUAUAUGAAAUGUAGGGAAAUUGCUCAUUUACAUAUCCAGCCAGCACAAUCAUGGCAUUCUUUUCACCUCCUCUAAAGACGCUGAAUCUUUUCCUUCAGUGAUUUCCUAUCAGAGUGUUCCCUUUCUGUCACUAUUGCACAACCUUCACAGUUCUGCUUCCUGCUGUUACCUUUGUUUAAUCAUUUGUUCAAUGUUUCUUCAAGACCUUUAGUGAGAUAUAUUUGCAGUUUUAAAGCAUUUGGAUUUAUACCCCAUUCUUUCAACAAUGAUCCUGGGCAGUCGGCACUAGUCAUGGUCUUGGGAAGCUGGCAAUGAGUGUAGUGUACAGGUUAAGAAAAUGAACCAAAAUUUGGGAAAGUUGAAGUUCAAAUCUUUAUUCCGCCAGAGGCAAGCCAUUAUCUCUAAGCCCCUGCCCCCAUAUGUAGCAUGGAGGGGGGAAUAAUAUAUACAUAAUUUAUAGUACUGUUUUCAUUAUUACUAAGGUAGUAAUAAAUACUGAACAUUGUUAGGAUUAUAGGAUGCUAUCUUAUACCAAAUCAGACCAUUGGUCCAUCUAGCUCAGUAUUGUCUAUAUUGGCUGGCAGUCGGUCUCCAGAGUUUUAGACAGCAAUCUUUUUCUAAGUCCUACCAGGAGUUGCUGGAGAUUGAAGUCUCAGGUGAUAAAUUUAUUAGUCUUUAAGAAACCAGGAGACUUUUAGUUGUUCUUACUGAAUGUGUUAAAUGUUUGAUUAAACUACCACUGUUUAAUAAGGACACAAAAAUGUAUCCUACGAGUGAUUUAAUCUCUAGUUUAAGCAUUUCCUCUCAUAACCACUAGGUGGCGCGCUUGUGCUUCCAACAGUUAAUUACCUGAUUGUGGCAGUCCCCAUACAACAGUCACUGAGGAAAGCAAAACUGCCUUGGACGCAUGUGCAUUAGUUAGUGGUGAACCUCAGGCAGGGCCAUCUUGCACAUGAGACAAGGUAAGGAAGUUGUCUCAGGCUGCAGAUUUGGUCUCCGAGGAGUGUACCUCAUCUUUGCCACCUCCCCCAGGCCCACCUAUUGCCUCUUCAGCUGCCCUCUGCCUGCUCCAGGGAGCGCUGCAGAGGAGGAGGAGGCGGGGGGGGUGCAGUGGAAGGGGAAGCAGCAGCAGGUGUGGGGAGGCAUUUUCUGUUUUGCCUGAAGUGAGAAACAUCCUAGGCUGACCCUGGCCUUGGGACAAGUUUUGUCUGAAAGACUGCUUUCAGUACAAACAUGUUUGACCACUUAGGUCAAUAGUGGGGAACCUCAGACCCAGUGCUUCAAUUUGACUCUAGGCCAGGGGUCAGCAAACUUUUUCAGCAGGGGGCUGGUCCACUGUCCCUCAGACCUUGUGGGGGGCCGGACUAUUUUGGGGGAGGGAAUGAACAAAUUCCUAUGCCCCACAAAUAACCCAGAGAUGCAUUUUAAAUAAAAGGGCACAUUCUACUCAUGUAAAAACGCGCUGAUUCCCAGACCAUCCGCAGGCUGGAUUGAGAAGGCAAUUGGGUCGGAUCCGGCCCCCAGGCCUUAGUUUGCCUACCCAUGCUCUAGGCUCUAUCUGGCCCACAGACAUUUAUAUUAAUUGUUUUGUCCAUUUUUGCUUCUGAUCAUGCCUAGUUUGUCUGUCCAUUGGCAUGUGCACCCUCCCUAAAGAUUGCCCAGAAUAAAAUACAGUUUUCCAUCUGAAAAUGUUCUUUGCUCCUGAUUCAGUAAAGGUUCUUUACUCUUAAUGGUGGCAUCAUGCUCUACAGAUCACUGGAGUGGGCGUUUUCCAUGUUUGCCAUCAGUUGUUUUACAUUUGUCCAGUCAUUUCCUGACCUCCAAGAUCAAAUUUUUCACUUCUGUAUUUAUGCCACUACAUUUUACUAUGUUUUUAUGAUGUGUUUAACACUUUUGUACCUUGUUAUGUUUUAUUAUGUAUUGUGAACCCUUAGGUUUUUAAUGCUAAAGGGUCUAGAAAUUUUCUAAAUGAAUAAAUAAUAUUCUAAUCAUGCUAAACUUAGGUUGACUCAAUUGCUGGAUUGGAGACUGUCUAUUGCUGUAUAUAUGAGUCAGUUAACGUGGUUGGAUUUAUUGUGGCAUAAGCUUUUUCGGGGACAGAGCCCACCUCAGGAUGCUCUCCUAGUUUGUAGGUAUCAAACUAUGAGGACAUAGAGAAAAGUUUUGUUUCCUGUCUCCCAAAUGAGAAAAAACUGCCAAGCAAUGUAUGGUAUAUCAAUGGUGUGUAGUGUACUAAUGAAGAUCAGAUCUGACCAUAUUAGGUGUGAUAUACUCCAUAUAGGUGGCCCCUGAUGAUAAAUUGGCAUAGCAAGUUGAAUAGUGUAAAUUAAAUGGUCCUAAAGAGGGACAAUUGCUUUCUCAGGUAGGCAAGCUGCUCCCAGACUUGGUGUGAAAUUUGCUGGCAAGUUAUAAUUCAGCAGCAGUAGGCUGGUGUCUCUCUUUGAAGGAGAACAAAUAAUUGUUGAAGAAUGAUACAUAAUGUCUCCUAAUUUACAUCACAAUAAUAUUGUGAUCCUCCACACACCUUCUCAAAUAAGAUAAAGAUUGCAGUCUAAAAUAGUUUAAAAUCAUAGAUUCAUAUUUUAAAAACUAUCCAAAAGCCACAGCAGAGCAAGACCUUUAUUAGUAGCAACUGAAAUGUCAUAAAGUAUGGUUUGUAUGCUUUUAUGUACUAUUGUAAACCAAUUUGAUACUUUCCUAUGAAAUAGUAGUAGUAUAUAAAUUUUUUUAUAAGUAAAUAAAAUAAAAGUAUGUAAUCUUC